rnacentral:rRNA from 1 species
GACGUAGGGCGCGAGCGUUGUCCGGAUUUAUUGGGCGUAAAGAGCUCGUAGGCGGCUUGUUGCGUCGACUGUGAAAGCCCGCGGCUUAACUGCGGGCUUGCAGUUGAUACGGGCAGGCUAGAGUUCGGUAGGGGAGACCGGAAUUCCUGGUGUAGCGGUGAAAUGCGCAGAUAUCGGGAGGAACACCAAUGGCGAAGGCAGCUCGCUGGAACGGUACUGACGCUGAGGCGCGAAAGCGUGGGGAGCGAACAGG